AAAAAGACAAACCCUGGGUUUCCGUGUCCAACGUUUGACCGUCCGUCUUAUUUCAAAAAAUUAUGAAAAAAAAUUAAAAAGACAAGUCACGCAUAAAGUAUUAAUCAUAUUUUAUCAUUUAACAACAAUAAAAAUACUAAUUAUAAAAAAAUUCAUAUAAGACGGACAGUUAAACGUUAGAUACGGAAACUCAGGAUUUGUUUUUUU
rnacentral:pre_miRNA from 1 species